rnacentral:rRNA from 1 species
UUUUCUCUUCGGAGACACGGUGACAGGUGCUGCAUGGCCGUCGUCAGCUCGUGUCGUGAGAUGUUUGGUUAAGUCCAGCAACGAGCGCAACCCCUGUUGUCAGUUACCAGCACAUAAUGGUGGGGACUCUGGCAAGACUGCCCAGAUCAACUGGGAGGAAGGUGGGGACGACGUCAGGUCAGUAUGGCCCUUAUGCCUUGGGCUGCACACGUACUACAAUGCCCAGUACAGAGGGAAGCCAACCCGCGAGGGUGAGCAGAUCCCGAAAAGUGGGCCCAGUUCGGAUUGGAGGCUGCAACUCGCCUCCAUGAAGCCGGAAUCGCUAGUAAUGGCAGAUCAGCUACGCUGCCGUGAAUACGUUCCCGGGUC